CAAGGAUAUGGAACGAUUCUCUUUACAUAUCCGAAUUUAUUUCUGUUGGAAUGAAUUGAAUGAACAAAAUGAAGAUAUGCAUUUUAGAGAAGAAUAGAAAAUUAUAUUUCGUGUCUUGAUACUGAAUUUUGUAGUAUCUAUAUACGAAAAAAAUCUCAAAAUUCUCUCUCUCUCUCUCUCUCUUUUAAAUUAUAGAACGAAAAAAAAAAUCUUCUACAUUAUUCCAUUUCAGGCGCAGAGACGAUCCAAUUCACGGCGCAGAGAUUCGGCGGCAAUAGUCGGAGACGAAAUGGCGAAGACGAAGAAUGAGAGACGAGGUUACGAAUGGUAUGUUUCCGUGAACUUUCAUAUAUGAAGGAUGUUACGAAUCGCAGAGGAUGAGUGAAAGAUUUUGUUGUCACACAAAUUUCUUUAUUUGAUAUGUAAAUGUAUUAUUACCCUUAUAAUGAUUAUUAAUAUCUUUAAAAUUUUAUUGGCAACCAAUAUCACAUAAGAGGGUAAAGAAAAACAAGGAGGUUUACCGCUGGAACUCGAUGAGCAUAAUGGCCGACCAAAUGAAGCGAACAUUCGUAAAAGGAAAGCUCAGGAAAUGGGUGGUUCAUCAACUAAUUUGCCUACUGUGGAGGAAUUCAGAGCUACCUGCUGUUACGGGAUCCACUGUUGUCGACGCGAAGAUGUUACGUAAGGUGAACAAGAAAAGGCUGCAUUGUUGAAUUAUAAACAACUUAAAGUGAAGCCUGCAGAGGAUUACUCGUCUCUCUUUACGAGGAGCAUGCCGUGUGUGCUGUACAAGGCUGUGGGAGAGAUGAGUGACAUGCAACACUUUGCUGUUGCAACCAUGGGGUUUGACGACCUUAUUGAAAUCCUUAUAAAAGAUAUGUCUGGGAAACUCAACUACUGGCUGCUCGAUUGCUUCAAUUACAAGAGGUGUGAGUUGGUACUUCCUUGCGGGACCAGAAUCCCAGUGACUGCAGACAAUGUCCAUCGAGUUUUUGGUUUGCCAAAGGGUGAGAAGCCUAUGUUAACUGCGAAGAAAGAGGAUAAUGAAGAUCUGUAUGAGCAAUGGAUGGCUUUUUUCCAAAUACGAAUCCUAGGCUCAUUAAGAUCAAUGAACUGAAGGAUGUGAUGUUGUCAUGCGUCGAUGACGGCAGAUUAACUUAUUGCCUAAUUGAGAGUACAACGAAUGGGUGCAUAAUUCCGAGGAUCA